rnacentral:rRNA from 1 species
AUUGAACGCUGGCGGCAUGCCUUACACAUGCAAGUCGAACGGCAGCGGGGGAGAAGCUUGCUUUUCCUGCCGGCGAGUGGCGAACGGGUGAGUAAUACAUCGGAACGUGCCCUGUAGUUGGGGAUCACUAGUCGAAAGAUUAGCUAAUACCGCAUACGACCUGAGGGUGCAAGUGGGGGACCGCAAGGCCUCAUGCUAUAGGAGCGGCCGAUGUCUGAUUAGCUAGUUGGUGGGGUAAAGGCCUACCCAGGCGACGAGCAGUAGCUGGUCUGGGAGGACGAUCAGCCACACUGGGACUGAGACACGGCCCAGACUCCUACGGGAGGCAGCAGUGGGGAAUUUUGGACAAUGGGCGAAAGCCUGAUCCAGCAAUGCCGCGUGAGUGAAGAAGGCCUUCGGGUUGUAAAGCACUUUUGUCCGGAAAGAAAUGGCUCUGGUUAAUACCUGGGGUCGAUGACGGUACCGGAAGAAUAAGGACCGGCUAACUACGUGCCAGCCGCCGCCGUAA